rnacentral:rRNA from 1 species
ACGCACGCUGGCGGCGUGCUUAACACCUGCAAGUCGAACGGAAAGGCCCUGCUUUUGUGGGGUGCUCGCGUGGCGAACGGGUGAGUAACACGUGAGUAACCUGCCCUUGACUUUGGGAUAACUUCAGGAAACUGGGGCUAAUACCGGAUAGGAGCUCCUGCUGCAUGGUGGGGGUUGGAAAGUUUCGGCGGUUGGGGAUGGACUCGCGGCUUGUCAGCUUGUUGGUGGGGUAGUGGCUUACCAAGGCUUUGACGGGUAGCCGGCCUGAGAGGGUGACCGGCCACAUUGGGACUGAGAUACGGCCCAGACUCCUACGGGAGGCAGCAGUGGGGAAUAUUGCACAAUGGGCGGAAGCCUGAUGCAGCAACGCCGCGUGCGGGAUGACGGCCUUCGGGUUGUAAACCGCUUUCGCCUGUGACGAAGCGUGAGUGACGGUAAUGGGUAAAGAAGCACCGGCUAACUACGUG